UGGGGAAUUUUGCGCAAUGGGGGAAACCCUGACGCAGCAACGCCGCGUGAGUGAUGAAGGCCUUCGGGUCGUAAAGCUCUGUCAGAGGGAAAGAAAUGUGGGCAGUUAAUACCUGUUCCACUGACGGUACCCUCAGAG
rnacentral:rRNA from 1 species